rnacentral:rRNA from 1 species
AUACGGAGGGUGCAAGCGUUACUCGGAAUCACUGGGCGUAAAGCGCGCGCAGGCGGCUAUUUAAGUUGGAUGUGAAAGCCUACGGCUCAACCGUAGAACUGCAUCCAAAACUAUUUAGCUAGAGUGUGGGAGAGGAAGAUGGAAUUAGUUGUGUAGGGGUAAAAUCCGUAGAGAUAACUAGGAAUACCAAAAGCGAAGGCAAUCUUCUGGAACACUACUGACGCUGAGGCGCGAAAGCGUGGGGAGCAAACGGAAUUAGAAACCCUUGUAGUCC